GGCAAAGACAGAUGUUUCCUUGAUCUCACGGAAAAUCCAAAGCUUCGUUCUGUAGUUGAAAUUAUGUGCUUUUAUUUGUAACGAUAUUUUUAGGAAGAUAGUCAUGAAAUGAUGAUAUAAAAUAUAUGUAUUCAAAGGAGAGACACCAAGGGUAUUUUCAUUUUUUUUUAAUACAAGGACUUCUGUGCUGCUGAUUGGAACAGGGACUGUUUAGAGCAGAAACUGCUGACAGAGUGAAUUUAAUGAAACAAAUACAUGCCCAAUUACAAGGCAGUGUGAGUGUGUGUGAGGGCACAUACUGGACCACAGGCAGCAAACACACAACACGUCAGGACCCCAUGUCUGACGGUGGGUUCUUUACUGACUGAGCCACCAGGGAUGUCCAUGACUUCUUUUGAUAAAGCUGCACUGCUCAGCAUGAGGACUCUUAAUUUCUCGACUAGGGAUUGGAAGCACAGAGUCUUAACCACUAGACCACCAGGGAGAUCCUGCUCAAUAAAUAUUUUUAAUCUAACUUUUUAAUCAGGUGAAGUCUAAAAUACUUGAUUAAUCAGAAUGGUCUAUUUCUUGUUUAAUUUGAGCCUAAUUUACAGAUUUAAACUUAUGUUACAGAUAGAUUUUAUCUGUAUACUG